AACCUCCGCAAUGUGAGAAAUCGCGACGGGGGGAUCCCAAGUGCCGUUCUUAACGGGAUGGCUUUUCUUAAGUGUAAAAAGCUUUUGGAAUAAGAGCUGGGCAAGACCGGUGCCAGCCGCCGCGGUAACACCGGCAGCUCUAGUGGUAGCUGUUUUUAUUGGGCCUAAAGCGUUCGUAGCCGGUUUGAUAAGUCACUGGUGAAAUCCUGUAGCUUAACUGUGGGAAUUGCUGGUGAUACUGUUGAACUUGAGGUCGGGAGAGGUUAGCGGUACUCCCAGGGUAGAGGUGAAAUUCUGUAAUCCUGGGAGGACCACCUGUGGCGAAGGCGGCUAACUGGAACGAACCUGACGGUGAGGGACGAAAGCUAGGGGCGCGAACCGGAUUAGAUACCCGGGUAGUCCUAGCCGUAAACGAUGCGGACUUGGUGUUGGAGUGGCUUUGAGCCGCUCCGGUGCCGAAGGGAAGCUGUUAAGUCCGCCGCCUGGGAAGUACGGUCGCAAGACUGAAACUUAAAGGAAUU
rnacentral:rRNA from 1 species